GGGGGGGAACCAUAGUUCAUCAUCAGUAUUCAUUAGUCAUAAACCAUAGAAGAGUCAGUCAUAAACUUGUGUAAUCUUGCUAUUCUUCAUGAAGAACAACACAAGGGAGCCUCGUGAAGGAGGAUUCUAAAGUGUCCAGUUGUAUUCUUAUCUAUAUUCUGAAGGUAAGUGUGGAACUAUGGAAACUCAACACUGCAACAGAAAAAGAACCCAGCUGAUGGAUGAGGCAAAGGAGGUGAAGAGCGAGAGUGAUAGGAACUGAGAGUAAACAGGAGUGAAUGGACGGGCAUUCACUAGAUGGAGAGCGCUCUAGUGUUGUGUCAAAGUCUGCUCCUUCGCCGUUUCUUCUUACCAGCAGGACUUGAGACGUUUCAAAUCCAGCAUUCUUUCUGCUCGAUCAUCAACUCAGGUUCGGUGUCAGAGAGGGUCGGCUCAGAGAGAAACAUAAGCUCCCCCGAAGAACUGACGGCAGCAGACACCUUGUAGAAGUCAGGAAGGAGAAAAAAAUGAAGACAGAACUUCUCUAUGAGAAGACAGGAGAGGAAUCAUACCUCACAGAUAUUGACAUGACAAAGUCUCAACCGCAGAUGAUCUUCCUGAGGUGACUUGAGGUAAUGCAUGCAUGCACAAAAGAUGCUGGGUAUUAUGUACAAUAAAAACAUAAUUGGGAACAAGA